rnacentral:lncRNA from 1 species
CCUACCCAGCUCUCACCAGGAUGAAAUCAGAGUACUAACCGUUUGUCCUCAAACCCAACUCCCAGUACUUGCUCAAGGGGUUCUGAUGUUUCCAUUCAGCUGUCCUAGAACAGUGAGUGCAUCUGGACCAAAAGUUAUCAGGCCCACUUACAAUUAAGGCAGGUAACAUAGGAACCUAUUCCAAGACUCUUGGAACGUCUACUUUCCUAUUCCCAGGGCCUUCUUGAAGGUAGUGUUUCAGGAUACCAAGUGUGGAAAGCCCAGUUCAAGCUGUAGUGGCAAUCUUACUGUGUAGGGCUAUACCUUGCCUGGUUUCUUUACCCAUCAACCAGUACAACUUUUCUACCAGCUGUUUCAGGCCCUUCUCCCAUAAUCUAGUCCUCCCUGUAUUGGCUUUUCAAACUUAUUUACCAAGGCUCCAGACCAGUUAAGUCCUAGUUAGCAAAGAGGGAGAACUGGGGGUUCUUAGCACUCAAACACUCCUAGUCCCUAACAGUGAGCAACUGCUCAUCCACUUAAACCCAAGAACUAUUAUCAAUAUCUGAACUCAGUUACGGGAAAGCACAGCCUUACAGGCCAGGUUAGCAAACUAGUUUAUAGGAUCUGGACAAGAUGGUGUCUUGGCAUGGUACUGCACAAAUGCAGCCAAGGACAGGAAUUGAGUGUGGGUGCCUUACAUGCUUUGGAACCUUUAAGUCUUAGGUUGUGAGAACAGCCUAGACUGACUAGAAGUUUACAAUGCUAAAGCUGGACUGUUUAACACCUGACACUCGACUUUACUCUGCAAAUACAUGUUUUUAAGGACCAAGACCAAAGACUACGCUUCAUUACAUGUAGUGCUCUUUACAGCUUAAAAGAACUCACCCAACACACUGGCAAUCAGUCUUAUAAACAAAACUUUAUUAAAUGGUACAGAAGAUCCUGUGGGAGACAGGACCACCAACCGUGCCUGUCCAGAACAAAAGUUGGCUGACCCACACCUUGCUUUUGGGGUGAUGGCUGGAGACUCCUGGGAAUGUAGCCUGCAAAAACAACUCAAUUUCAGAAUCACUCCUACAUGGACUAAUAGCAUUCUCAACAUUUAGAGAUAUCUUCAGAAAACCAUAGGCUCACCACUAGCAAUCUGCCGGUAAUUCCAGCUAUUUAAGGUGAUAUCAUCAUUUGAUAUCUUUGUUUCAGAGUAAUGACAGCUAAUCACUGUACAGACCAACUCACCUCAGCUGCUGUCAACACCAUCUGCAGUCCCCCAGUGCGUUCUCAAACUUGAAAGGGACACCCUAAGACAGAUUGCAGAA